rnacentral:rRNA from 1 species
AGUGAACGCUGGCGGUAGGCCUAACACAUGCAAGUCGAACGGCAGCACAGGAGAGCUUGCUCUCUGGGUGGCGAGUGGCGGACGGGUGAGGAAUACAUCGGAAUCUACUCUGUCGUGGGGGAUAACGUAGGGAAACUUACGCUAAUACCGCAUACGACCUACGGGUGAAAGCAGGGGACCUUCGGGCCUUGCGCGAUUGAAUGAGCCGAUGUCGGAUUAGCUAGUUGGCGGGGUAAAGGCCCACCAAGGCGACGAUCCGUAGCUGGUCUGAGAGGGUGAUCAGCCACACUGGAACGGAGACCCGGUCCAGACUCCUACGGGAGGCAGCAGUGGGGAAUAUUGGACAAUGGGCGCAAGCCUGAUCCAGCCAUACCGCGUGGGUGAAGAAGGCCUUCGGGUUGUAAAGCCCUUUUGUUGGGAAAGAAACCCAGCUGGCUAAUACCCGGUUAGGAUGACGGUACCCAAAGAAUAAGCACCGGCUAACUUCGUGCCAGCCGCCGCGGUAA